rnacentral:rRNA from 1 species
UGGGGAAUAUUGCGCAAUGGGCGAAAGCCUGACGCAGCAACGCCGCGUGAGUGAUGAAGGCCUUCGGGUCGUAAAGCUCUGUCGGAGGGAACGAAUGCUCCUGAAGUUAACAGCCUCAGGAGGUGACGGUACCCUCAAAGGAAGCACCGGCUAACUCUGUGCCAGCAGCCGCGGUAAUACAGAGGGUGCAAGCGUUGUUCGGAAUUACUGGGCGUAAAGCGUGCGUAGUCGGUAUUGAGAGUCACGGGUGAAAUCCCAGGGCUUAACCCUGGAACUGCCUGUGAGACCUCAGUACUAGAGUGUGAGAGGGGAUAGUGGAAUACCCAGUGUAGCGGUGAAAUGCGUAGAGAUUGGGUGGAACACCGGUGGCGAAGGCGGCUAUCUGGCUCACAACUGACGAUCAGGCACGAAAGCGUGGGGAGCAAACAGGAUUAGAUACCCUGGUAGUCCCUGAGCGGGCUGGCAAGGCGCAU